CCUAGUGUCAAAAGAUAGACUUAAAUAUGGACUCGCUAUACAUUUCUAAUACACAGUCAUCAAUUGAUUAAAUCAACAAAGGAAUGACAUCAUCCACUCGCACAAAGAAGCAAGGAUGGUAUAUGGUACGCAUGCCCAAUUGUCACAUUAGAUAUCCCCAAUCAAAAUUACAUAUCCUGAUUUCCCUGCAUAGGUUGAGAACCUCUAUCAUAAAUUAAAUGCUAAAUUUGACCAUUUAUUUUUUUACCUGUGCAAGACGAGUCCCAUGUCCAUUUGGAGCAAGCAGAACAAGCCCAUGCCAAGCAUCUCUAAAACCAACGACCUCAAGAAGUCCAUCAUCUACAUAUGGUGGAGUCAAGUCUCUCUGCA
rnacentral:lncRNA from 1 species